CCUACGGGAGGCAGCAGUGGGGAAUAUUGCACAAUGGGGGAAACCCUGAUGCAGCGACGCCGCGUGAGUGAAGAAGUAAUUCGGUAUGUAAAGCUCUAUCAGCAGGGAAGAAAAUGACGGUACCUGAGUAAGUAGCCCCGACUAACUACGUGCCAGCAGCCGCGGUAAUACGGAGGGGGCCAGCGUUAUCCGGAUUUACUGGGUGUAAAGGGAGCGUAGACGGGAGUGCAAGUCUGGAGUGAAAGGCGGGGGGUCAACCCCCGGACUGCUGUGGAAACUGUACGGCUGGAGUGCAGGAGAGGUAAGUGGAAUGCGUAGUGUAGCGGUGAAAUGCGUAGAUAUUAGGAGGAACACCAGUGGCGAAGGCGGCUUACUGGAGUGUAACUGACGUUGAGGCUCGAAAGCGUGGGGAGCGAACAGGAUUAGAUACCCCAGUAGUC
rnacentral:rRNA from 1 species